CACUCCUGCGGGAGGCAGCAGUGGGGAAUUUUGGACAAUGGGCGAAAGCCUGAUCCAGCAAUGCCGCGUGAGUGAAGAAGGCCUUCGGGUUGUAAAGCUCUUUUGUCAGGGAAGAAACGGUGAAAGCUAAUAUCUUUUGCUAAUGACGGUACCUGAAGAAUAAGCACCGGCUAACUACGUGCCAGCAGCCGCGGUAAUACGUAGGGUGCAAGCGUUAAUCGGAAUUACUGGGCGUAAAGCGUGCGCAGGCGGUUUUGUAAGUCUGAUGUGAAAUCCCCGGGCUCAACCUGGGAAUUGCAUUGGGGACUGCAAGGCUAGAAUCUGGCAGAGGGGGGUAGAAUUCCACGUGUAGCAGUGAAAUGCGUAGAUAUGUGGAGGAACACCGAUGGCGAAGGCAGCCCCCUGGGUCAAGAUUGACGCUCAUGCACGAAAGCGUGGGGAGCAAACAGGAUUAGAAACCCGUGUAGUCCCA
rnacentral:rRNA from 1 species